UGGGGAAUAUUGGACAAUGGGCGAAAGCCUGAUCCAGCCAUGCCGCGUGUGUGAAGAAGGUCUUCGGAUUGUAAAGCACUUUAAGUUGGGAGGAAGGGCAGUAAGCGAAUACCUUGCUGUUUUGACGUUACUCGCAGAAUAAGCACCGGCUAACUCUGUGCCAGCAGCCGCGGUAAUACAGAGGGUGCGAGCGUUAAUCGGAUUUACUGGGCGUAAAGCGCGCGUAGGUGGUUCGUUAAGUUGAAUGUGAAAGCCCCGGGCUCAACCUGGGAACUGCAUCCAAAACUGGCGAGCUAGAGUAGGGCAGAGGGUGGUGGAAUUUCCUGUGUAGCGGUGAAAUGCGUAGAUAUAGGAAGGAACACCAGUGGCGAAGGCGACCACCUGGGCUCAUACUGACACUGAGGUGCGAAAGCGUGGGGAGCAAACAGG
rnacentral:rRNA from 1 species